AACGAACGCUGGCGGCAGGCCUAACACAUGCAAGUCGAACGAAGUCUUCGGACUUAGUGGCGCACGGGUGAGUAACGCGUAGGAAUCUACCUCAUAGUCUGGGAUAACAGUUGGAAACGACUGCUAAUACCGGAUGCUCCCUACGGGGGAAAGAAUUACGCUAUGAGAUGAGCCUGCGUUAGAUUAGGUAGUUGGUGGGGUAAAGGCCUACCAAGCCUACGAUCUAUAGCUGGUCUGAGAGGAUGAGCAGCCACACUGGGACUGAGACACGGCCCAGACUCCUACGGGAGGCAGCAGUGGGGAAUAUUGGGCAAUGGGCGCAAGCCUGACCAGCCAUGCCGCGUGAGUGAUGACGGCCUUAGGGUUGUAAAGCUCUUUUAGUGGUGAGGAUGAUGACUGUAACCACAGAAAAAGCCCCGGCUAACUUCGUGCCAGCCGCCGCGGUAA
rnacentral:rRNA from 1 species